AGUAGUCAUAUGCCUUGUCUCAAAGCAUUAAGCAUGCACAUUGUAAGAUGACUAUUCAUAUCAGACUGUGAAACUGCGAAUGGCUUCAUUAAAUCGUUUAUAGUUUGUUUGAUGGUAUCUGCUACUCGAUAACCGUAGUAAUUCUAGAGCUAAUACGUGCAACAAACCCCCGACUUCUGGAAGGAUGCAUUUAUUAGAUAACAAGGUCGACAGCGGGCUUCCCCGCCCCCCCCCCCUGCCAGUUGCUCUGAUGAUUCCAAUGAUAACUCGGACGGAUCGCACGGCCAUCGUGCCCGGCCGACGCAUCAUUCAAAUUUCUCCAGCUAUCAACUUCCGAUGUAGGAAUAGAGGCCUACCAUGGUGGUGACCGGGUGACGGAGAAUUAAGGGUUCGAUAUCCCGGAGAGGGAGCCUGACGAAACGGCUAACCACAUCCAAGGAAGGCAGCACGGCCGCGGCAAAUUACGCCAAUCUGACACGGGGAAGGUAAGUGACAAUAAAUAACAUACCGGGCUCUUCGAGUCUUGGUAAUUGGAAUGAGUAGAACAAUCUAAAUCCCUUAACGAGGAUCCCAUUGGAGGGCAAGUCCUGGUGCCAGCAGCCGCGGUAAAUUCCAGUCCAAUAAGCGUAUAUUUUAAGAUUGUUGCAGUAAAAAGCUCGUAUGUUGGACGCUUGGGGUUGGGUCGACCUGUCCCGCCUCGCGGUGUGCACACUGUCGGCUCGUCCCUAUCUGCCGGCGAUGCGCUCUCUGGCCUUACUGGCCGGGUCGUGGCCUCCGGCGCUGUUACUUGGAAGAAAUUAGAGUGCUCAAAGCAAGCCUACGCUCUGGAUACAUAGCCAUGGGAUAACAUCAUAGGAUUUCGGUCCUAAUGUGUUGGCCUUCGGGAUCGGAGUAAUGAUUAACAGGGACUAGUCGGGGGCAUUCGUAUUUCAAUAAGUCAGAGUCGCCGUGAAAUUCUUGGAAUUUAUGAAAGACGACAACUGGCGAAAGCAUUUGCCAAGGAUGUUUUCAUUAUCAAGAAACGAAAGUUGGGGCUUUCGAAGACGAUCAGAUACCGUCCCUAGUCUCAAACCCAUAAACGAUGCCGCCUAAGGGAUCGCGGAUGUUCUUUUAGGACCUCCGGCGCACCUUAUGAGAAUAUCAAAAGUCUUUGGUUCGCGGGGGAGUAUGGUCGCACAGGCUUGAAACUUAAAGAAUACGACAGGGCACCACCAGGAGUGGAGCCUGCGUGCUUAAUUUGACUCAACACGGGGAAAACUUACCAGGUCCAGACAUAUAAGGAUUUGACAGACUGAGAGCUCCUUUCUUGAUUCUAUGGGUGGGUGGUGCAUGCCGUUCUUAGUUGGUGGAGCGAUUUGUCUGGUUUAAAUUCCGUUUAACGAACGAGCCUCAGCCUGCUAACUAGCUAUGGCGGAGGUGACCCUCCGCGGCAGCUUCUUAGAAGACUAUGGCCUUUAGGCCGGAAGUUUUGAGGCAAUAACAGAGUCUGUGAUGCCGUUAGAUGUUUCCUCGGGCCGCAGCAGGCGCUACACUGAUGACGUAUUCAACGACGUCUAUAGCCUUUGGCCGACAGGCCCGGGUAAUCUUUGAAAUUUCAUCGUGAAUGGGGAUAGAUCAUCUGCCAAUGUUGGUCUUUACAACGGAGGAAUUUCCUAGUAGAGCGCGAGUCAUCAGCUCGCGUUUGACUAACUCCCUGGCCCUUUGUAUCACACUCGCCCGUCGCUCCUACCGAUUGAAUGGUACCGGUGAAGUGUUCGGAUCGCGGCGACGUGGGCGGUUCCGCCGCCGCCGACGUCCUGCGAGAAGUCCACUGAACCUUAUCAUUUAUGAGGAAGGAGAAGUCGUAACAAGGUUCCGUAGGUUAAGCCUGCGGAAG
rnacentral:rRNA from 1 species